GACGAACGCUGGCGGCGUGCUUAACACAUGCAAGUCGAACGGAAAGGCCCUGCUUUUGUGGGGUGCUCGAGUGGCGAACGGGUGAGUAACACGUGAGUAACCUGCCCUUGACUUUGGGAUAACUUCAGGAAACUGGGGCUAAUACCGGAUAGGAGCUCCUGCUGCAUGGUGGGGGUUGGAAAGUUUCGGCGGUUGGGGAUGGACUCGCGGCUUAUCAGCUUGUUGGUGGGGUAGUGGCUUACCAAGGCUUUGACGGGUAGCCGGCCUGAGAGGGUGACCGGCCACAUUGGGACUACGAUACGGCCCAGACUCCUACGGGAGGCAGCAGUGGGGAAUAUUGCACAAUGGGCGGAAGCCUGAUGCAGCAACGCCGCGUGCGGGAUGACGGCUUUCGGGUUGUAAACCGCUUUCGCCUGUGACGAAGCGUGAGUGACGGUAAUGGGUAAAGAAGCACCGGCUAACUACGUG
rnacentral:rRNA from 1 species